rnacentral:rRNA from 1 species
GAUUGAACGCUGGCGGCAGGCCUAACACAUGCAAGUCGAACGGUAACAGGAAGCAGCUUGCUGCUUYGCUGACGAGUGGCGGACGGGUGAGUAAUGUCUGGGAAACUGCCUGAUGGAGGGGGAUAACUACUGGAAACGGUGGCUAAUACCGCAUAACGUCGCAAGACCAAAGAGGGGGACCUUCGGGCCUCUUGCCAUCAGAUGUGCCCAGAUGGGAUUAGCUWGUUGGUGAGGUAACGGCUCACCAAGGCGACGAUCCCUAGCUGGUCUGAGAGGAUGACCAGCCACACUGGAACUGAGACACGGUCCAGACUCCUACGGGAGGCAGCAGUGGGGAAUAUUGCACAAUGGGCGCAAGCCUGAUGCAGCCAUGCCGCGUGUAUGAAGAAGGCCUUAGGGUUGUAAAGUACUUUCAGCGGGGAGGAAGGUGUUGUGGUUAAUAACCACAGCAAUUGACGUUACCCGCAGAAGAAGCACCGGCUAACUCC